CUCUCCUUCUUCUCUCUCCUUUUCACGUUGAUUGUGGUCUUUCUAUUUUCAUUCCUCAUUCUCUUUCCAUUUCUCUCUCUUCUUUCUCUCUCUUCUUCUUUUCACGUUGACAUGUCUUCUACCGGCGGCGACGAAAAUCCUCCUACCGUCGGUAACUCCGAUGAACUUCGCCGUUACUUUUGCCACCAGUGCGAACGCACAGCUUUCAUUUCCACUACAUCCACCGAUCUAAUCUGUCCCAAUUGCAACGGUACUUUCCUCGAAGAACUCGAAACUCCAAUCCCUAACCCUAAUCCCAAUCCUCUCCCUCCUUUCUUCUCCCACACCACAACCGAUUUCCCCGCCGCAGGAUUCUCCUUUCCCCUCAUUUUCUCCGGUGCCGGCGCCGCCAAUGCUUCUCAACCGUUCAAUGAUCUCUCCGCUUUAUUAUCGUCUCCAGCACCGCCUUCACCUUUCGGUGAAGCGUUUAACCCUGUCGCGUUUAUUCAAAACUACCUCCGCAACAUGAAUGCCGGAGGAGGCAACGUUCAGUUCUUCAUCAACGAUGCUGACGAUCCGGCGAGACAGUUCCGGUUUCCCGGAAACGCUAAUCCAGGAGAUUAUUUCUUUGGACCUGGACUUGAGGAUCUGAUCCAGCAAUUAGCAGAGAACGAUCCUAAUCGGCGAGGGACACCGCCGGCGUCGAAGUCCGCUGUGGAAAAGCUUCCGGUUAUUGAAGUUACGGAGGAGCUGCUGGAAUCGGAUUCAUCGCAGUGCGCGGUGUGUAAAGACACAUUUGCCCUUGGCGAAAAGGCAAAGCAGAUGCCGUGUAAGCAUAUAUAUCAUACUGAUUGUAUCUUGCCGUGGUUGGAAUUGCAUAAUUCGUGUCCUGUUUGUCGUCAUGAGUUGCCUACAGAUGAUCCUGAUUAUGAGCAGAGGGCUCAUGGUGGUGGCGGAGGCGGUGCUGGUGGUGGAGGAGGAGGAGAUGAUUCAGUGAGAACAAGGUUUAGGGUGUCUUUGCCAUUUAUGCCGUUUAGGCAUGUACCUUCUUCUUCUGGAGCUGCUGCAGGGACAAGUAAUGUUGGGAAUGUUAAUAACAAUGAUAGCAACAAUAGCAAUAGUGGAAAUAAUAAUGAGCAAUCCAAUACCGAAAAUAGGGGAAAUCAGAAUUUUGAGUCAGGGACUAGACAAGAAGAUCUUGACUGAGAAUCAAUCCUGUUUCAUAUGAGGGGAUGCAGUGACAGGUUUCAGUCAAUCUUGUUACAGCUUUAUCAAUGUAUGAAGUGUGUUUCAAACCUGCAGCAUUUGUUGAGUAGAAAAGAUGUCAAAUUUCAAGUAGUGGUUUUACAACAAUUGCAAAUUUUAUAUUUGAUGAUGAACUUUCGUGACUGUCCAUAAAAACAUUUUGAAGCUUAGAGUUCUUUGUAGAUUCAUGAUCCUCUAUGUGCAUUAUUUGUGCUAUAUUUUGUGAACUUUAUUUUCUGUGACUGUUUCAAAAGGAAGUACAAGGUUAUAGCCGAUCAUUGAGAAAACGAAUGGUCGAUAUCAUGAUAAAAUGUAUUUACAUGAAUAAUGAAUUAUUAUAACAUCAUUUAAGCCGAUCAAUAACAUAUCUUUAGAAUCCAUA